rnacentral:rRNA from 1 species
UACGUAGGGGGCAAGCGUUGUCCGGAAUCAUUGGGCGUAAAGAGCGUGUAGGCGGUCCGGUAAGUCGGCUGUGAAAGUCCAGGGCUCAACCCUGGGAUGCCGGUCGAUACUGCCGGACUAGAGUUCGGAAGAGGCGAGUGGAAUUCCCGGUGUAGCGGUGAAAUGCGCAGAUAUCAGGAAGAACACCAAUGGCGAAAGCAGCUCUCUGGGACGGUACUGACGCUGAGACGCGAAAGCGUGGGGAGCGAACAGG